AGUGAACGCUGGCGGUAGGCCUAACACAUGCAAGUCGAACGGCAGCACAGUAAGAGCUUGCUCUUACGGGUGGCGAGUGGCGGACGGGUGAGGAAUACAUCGGAAUCUACUUUUUCGUGGGGGAUAACGUAGGGAAACUUACGCUAAUACCGCAUACGACCUACGGGUGAAAGCAGGGGAUCUUCGGACCUUGCGCGAUUGAAUGAGCCGAUGUCGGAUUAGCUAGUUGGCGGGGUAAAGGCCCACCAAGGCGACGAUCCGUAGCUGGUCUGAGAGGAUGAUCAGCCACCCUGGAACUGAGACACGCUCCAGACUCCUACGGGAGGCAGCAGUGGGGAAUAUUGGACAAUGGGCGCAAGCCUUAUCCAGCCAUACCGCGUGGGUGAAGAAGGCCUUCGGGUUGUAAAGCCCUUUUGUUGGGAAAGAAAAGCAGCAGGUUAAUACCCCGCUGUUCUGACGGUACCCAAAGAAUAAGCACCGGCUAACUUCGUG
rnacentral:rRNA from 1 species